rnacentral:rRNA from 1 species
AUGCAAUCUGACAUAGAGAAGGUAAAAAGCAUCGUUAUAUAUGAAGUGGAUGAACUAGAACAGAGCAUAUGUAGGACAGAGGCUAGAACAAGAAAGGCUAGAGCAAGAAAUUGUAGCAUGGUCUUAAACAGAAAGAACACAAAGACGUAUGGAGCAGCGGCAGAAGCACCGGUCUUGGGGUCGAGGUCGUCGCCAGCCAUGUUGUCGAAGAGGUUGUCGACGUCGGGGAAGAAGUCGUCGUUGGGGAAGUGGUUGUCGGUGUUCGGAACGUCCGUGAUGAACCGGUCAGUAGUCGCGCAGAGCGCUCCCCAAAAAUCUUAUCACCCUUCUCCCGCAUAG